GCUGGGAAACCAAACCUGCGUGUACAAGAUAACAGUCGCCUGGACGCUCGGGCCAGCAGGGUGAUUUGGGCCUGGCGUGUGUGGUUUCCUCGGAAGCCCCACAUGCAGAAGGCGGGACGGGGUUGUGGGGUGGCAGGAGACAGCAUGCCGUGAGGCCUCUCAGGGCUGCGUGCUGACAGGCACCUGCCUGGGCAGAAUGAGGACAAGAGGCGUGUCACAAUGCAGGACUCAGGGAUCAUGCUGGAGGUGAUGAGACCGGGCCGUUUGACGUCUGGGUAAACCCUGGCCAUUAGUGGGGACAGCACUGCCACAGUUCUGAGUGCAAACGGUUAAGCAUCUCAGAGCUGCUACAUCCUGUUGGCUGCACAGCGGGACCUCAUACUGUCGCAGCAUGGGGCUUAUGACCUCCAGGAGCUGACAUUUCACAUACAUACUGAAUGCAUCAGGGAAAAGAAUAUUUAAAAAGUGCUUUCCCACAGUAUAUAAUUAGAGGUGUUUACUGUGGAGUCGGGAGCCCCAAAGUUCGUCAGCAAAAACUCAAGAACUUUUAAGGCUACGUCAGUUACCACCUUCCUCUACUGUAGAGGAAUAAUCAUAAAAUGCUAACCCAGAAGAUGGCCCUGAACAAAGGUUGGUUCAAAAUCUUCACAGAGGGGGAAGCGGAAGGAAAGGAUUAUUCCAUCGUCACUGCGCAAACCAGCGACAGACAGAGCUACACAAAACUCUGUCUUGGUGUGUUGGGCUACGCGGGCCUUGGGUUCACGCUGAAAAGACUGUGCUGUGGGAACGCUCAACACAACAGAUUUUCUCUCCCUGACUUUCUCCACCUGGCCAGAUUACGUCGCACUAAUCCCACAGCAUGUCCUUUGAGGCCCCUGCUCCUGCUAAGUAGACUUCUAGUACAGCUUCCAACAAGAAUAUACAGCCUUCAGGACAUGUCAGAUCCCGGACUGUCCAGUGUCCCAGAAGUCCUUCCACUCUCCCUGGCUCCCUGCUCUCCUACAGCCUACAGGUAAAUCCACCAGAGCCUGUAACAGCACUCUUGGGUUUCCACCAGCAUCUGGACUGUCACUCACCAAAGAAUGAGCUGAUGAAGAGCAAACCAAAGUCAAAAACAUUAAAAUGAUCUCAGAGAGAC